ensembl:lncRNA
GCAGCACUUAGGGGCAGUUUAUAUCAGCCUGCAAGAUAAAACACCUGGGCUAGUAUUGCCAGAGGAGCUGUAAUACUGUGCAAGGAGUACAAUCAGGUCCACAUUGGACACUGUGAAAUAGCAGUAUUCUCUUUUUUCCUCUGUCUGCCCAAGCCCAGAAUCGAAUUGAUUCUGGGGCUUUCAUGAAAUGCCAGCUGCUGGGAGCACAAACCAAAAGCAGACCUGGAAAGAGCAGAAACUGGACCAGAAGCUUUUACUUUCUCUAUACACAGCAUGUAGUUGCACUGAGGUGGGAAGAUGAAGUCAUUUUUCAAACCCUAAUUGGCAACAGUGGACAGGAGAAAGCCUGCAGAACAUAACCCAAGCAAGUCACUGAAGAUUCAGGCUUCAUUUGUCAAUGGAACAAGCACAGACCAGGCUGAGGAGUGCCUGAGAGCCACUACUGCACAGAAGCACAACUGGACCCUGACAACAUCAUCAUUGCCCAAGGAGCACUCAUUUCAAACAUCACUCAGUUUACAAAACUUGGGGGAAACUUACCUGACUUUGACUCUUCCUGCUGCGCCAAAGAUGACCAGGAGUUUAGUGGUGCAGUCAGCUGGAGAAAGAUGGUGAUGGAAACAAUUCUUUCAAGUCAGCAUUGAGCUCCAUAGCAAAACCAAGUUCAACAGCACUCAAGUUCAAC